rnacentral:rRNA from 1 species
AACAAUACAAGGCAGUUAAAAUGCUUUGUAAUUGGAAUGAUAGAAAUUUAAACCCUUUUUAAAGUAUCAAUUGGAGGGCAAGUCUGGUGCCAGCAGCCGCGGUAAUUCCAGCUCCAAUAGCGUAUAUUAAAAUUGUUGCAGUUAAAAAGCUCGUAGUUGAAGUUCUGCUAAAAGUAACCGGUCUGCUUUUAAUAAAGGUGGUAUCUUGGUGUGUAUUUAGCAAUGAUGUCCUUUGAAGUGUUUUUUACUUUAUUGUAAUAAAGCAUAUUCAGGACUUUUACUUUGAGAAAAUUAGAGUGUUUCUAGCAGGCUAACGCUUUGAAUACUGCAGCAUGGAAUAAUAAGAUAGGAUUUUAGUUCUACAUUAUUGGUUUUAAGAGCUAAAUUAAUGAUUGAUAGGGACAGUUGGGGGCAUUUGUAUUUAACUGUCAGAGGUGAAAUUCUUAGAUUUGUUAAAGACAAACUACUGCGAAAGCAUUUGCCAAAGAUGUUUUCAUUAAUCAAGAACGAAAGUUAGGGGAUCGAAGACGAUCAGAUACCGUCGUAGUCUUAACUAUAAACUAUGCCGACUAGAGAUUGGAGGUCGUCUUUAUAAAC